rnacentral:misc_RNA from 1 species
CAACCCAUCAAGCUUCGGCUUGGUCUUGGGGCCUGCGGUUUCGCAGCCUCUAAACUCAGUGGCGGUGCUAUUGAGCUCUGAGCGUAGUAAUUUUUCUCGCUAUAGAGUCUCGGUGGUGACUUGCCAGUAACCCCCAAUUUUUAUCA